rnacentral:lncRNA from 1 species
CCACUCAAAAAUAUAGAUUUGUCAUUGUGAAUGCUGUACACCAUACAUCAUUGAGAAUGAUAUUUUUCUUGACCUAUUCAGAGAUAGUCAUGAGUAGAGACUCUGACAGAUGCAUGAAAACUGAAUUAACUCCCUAAAUAUCAAUCAAGUAUGGACUAUGGUUGAAGUGCCUAUGGGUAUGACUCAAUAGGCUGCUAACAGGAAUGUCAAUCCG